rnacentral:lncRNA from 1 species
UGCUAAUACCUUCUCAUUGCAUAACCCACUUCCUUACCCGUUUCUCUUGUUUGGUUCGAGAUUCUUGCGAAAAUGAGACUAACUGCUUCGAUCUGCCAUUUGUAAAGAAGACUCGCCACUUUUCUCGAGUGUUUGCUGUUUUGUGUAGUAUUUUCACGCCCAAACGUUAAGCAGUAACGUUAUAAAUAGGGAUUCGUAUUCCCUUCUUUUUCAUCAUCUCUUAUUCUCUCUCUCUCUCUCUCUCUCUCUCUGCUUUUUUGUUUGAGUUCUAGCUUAUUAUUACUAGUUUCAUCCUAUUACGGCUCCAUCAAAU